GUGGUCUUUCUCCUCCCUUAGAACCAGUUGCUACUGGCGCUGACGUCUUCACAUGGUCGUUGUUGAAUCUCCUCUUUUUAAAAUCUCCUCCCGACUCGCUUCUUCUAUUUUCAUGGCCACGAUUACCACCAGAGUGGUUACCGCCUUUGUCCGUAUUCUUCUUUCUCCGCUGGUUAUCGUUAUUCUGAUGACUGCUAUCUUCGGUAUGAUCCUG
rnacentral:lncRNA from 1 species